CAAUAACGAAAGAAAGACAAUCCUUUUAUCACCAGAAAAUAAGUGUUAGUUUUCAGACAACACUUCCGCAUCUCGAUGCCUGGGUGAUGUUUUUCAGUGACCAACACAGGACUUAGGAAAAGACGUCGUGUCAUGCUGUUCAAGGUCACUGAGAUCUGGCCUUGCCCCCAGGUGUCAGCCAGAAGAACCCAGAGCGGGUAGAGGAAAUGUCUUCCUCUCCUAUACUGGACAACUGUGUCACUGCCAGAUCAUCUCCAAGCAAACUCCUCCCUUGGUGGCAUGUGCAUUUUCAGAGAGAGCACUUAUAGACCCAAAAGUCUUCAUCUUCAAGAAGCUUGAUCCACAUGGUGAAAUUCCAGGCAUCAUGGCAGACCUUGCAGGGAGUUAUGUAUAGGAAAUGGACUGGCAAGUUGGAAUGAAAACAGAUAAGAGAACAAAAGCCCAGCUAAGAAGAGUGGAAUUUAUUUCGAAGACAAUGACGAGUCACUGGAGUUUUUGACCAGCUGCAAUUUCUCCCUUGGAGAAUAUGAAGAGAAAAAAAGAGGAGGCUAAGGAUCUAUAUCAUCUGUUGAGCUGGUAAUGGAACCAGUGAUGGAGUAUUCCAUGGCCACCAGGCUAUCACCUGGAUCAACUCCUUCUGCCUCGACCCAGCCAUUCUACCCUGGGAAGUGCCUCAACCACUGGCCAGGAAACCUGAGUUCUGUUCCAGGCUCUGCCACUGACCUGCUAAACCCACUGAGGAAGACCAAGCAGGAGUUGCUUCAGAGGAGGCAUGGAUACGAACGUGGAGAGGGGAGAAGGAGAAGCCACUGCCUUGAGGAGAGUUAAGUGUCCUUUGAGACGGGAGUUAAGAUGUGCAAACAGAGGCCUAGGACAAGGAAAAUGAUCUGACUGAGAGUCCAGGGUAAACAGCAUUUGCGGAGAUUCAUAUGUAUCUGCACACACACCCUGAUCACUAAAAUUUAUCUAGACCUUUGCUAGACACUUGCGAAAGUGUGAUCCACCGGCCAGUAGCAUCAGUAUUACCUGGGAACUUGUUAGAAAUACAAAUUCUCAGGUCCUUCCCCAGACCUAAUGACUCAGCAACCUCAGGUGUUUCUUGUGCAUCUUAAAUUUGAGAAGUCCUUCUCUAGAAGGCUGAUUGGAGCUGGAAGUGGGAUGUAGUUGAAGAGGCUGGGGGCAUGUUUUAAUCCUGGCUUCAGAGGAUCAGAAUAAAAUCCACAGCCUUGGCUUUCUCAGCAACCUGAUUUAAUCUACAUGGUCUUUGAGGGCCCGAGGCCCCAGGCUAACCAGGC
rnacentral:lncRNA from 1 species